GAUGAAGAACGUAGCGAAAUGCGAUACGUAAUGUGAAUUGCAGAAUUCAGUGAAUCAUCGAAUCUUUGAACGCACAUUGCGCCCGCCAGUAUUCUGGCGGGCAUGCCUGUCCGAGCGUCAUUUCAACCCUCGAACCCCUCCGGGGGGUCGGCGUUGGGGAUUGGCCCUGCCUCUUGGCGGUGGCCGUCUCCGAAAUACAGUGGCGGUCUCGCCGCAGCCUCUCCUGCGCAGUAGUUUGCACACUCGCAUCGGGAGCGCGGCGCGUCCACAGCCGUUAAACACCCAACUUCUGAAAUGUUGACCUCGGAUCAGGUAGGAAUACCCGCUGAACUUAAGCAUAUCAAUAAGCGGAGGA
rnacentral:misc_RNA from 1 species